GCAGGCAAGUGUUGCAGGGUAAGAGAUUUACUUUCUCAAAGCACCUUUCCCAGUAUCCCUGGAACAGAAAGACAGUAUGAACUGACGAUGACGUCGUUUGGAGAUACAAGUUGCCGGGCCGCCAGAACUCAAUUUCAGCUGAGCAGCGUCAAGCAUACGAGUGGGGCUUGGAACCUUGCUGAGACCCUGGGAGCCUGGCCAUGCUCAGAGUGGAAAGGAACCCCUUCUGGCUGCUGGCAGACCAUAAAGACUGUGAAGGGGUCUAGAGGAAACGGUCAAGGAGAACAUUGCUGAGAACCUCCAGGUUCACCCGGG